rnacentral:rRNA from 1 species
AAGUCCCACAACGAGCGCAACCCUCGACCUUAGUUGCCAGCAUUCAGUUGGGCACUCUAAGGUGACUGCCGGCUAAAAGUCGGAGGAAGGUGGGGGAUGACGUCAAAUCAUCAUGCCCCUUAUGACCUGGGCUACACACGUGCUACAAUGGGCGGUACAAAGGGUCGCGAACCCGCAGGGGGAGCCAAUCCCAAAAAGCCGCUCUCAGUUCGGAUUGCAGGCUGCAACUCGCCUGCAUGAAGCCGGAAUCGCUAGUAAUCGCGGAUCAGAAUGCCGCGGUGAAUACGUUCCCGGGCCUU